rnacentral:lncRNA from 1 species
CCCCCGCGUCCGCCUGCCGCCCGGCCCGGCCGCCCAGAGCUCGCCAUUGGGCCUCGCUCCCGGGGUCCCGCGCGCCGGCCGUGCUGAUUGGCCGCUGGGACUUCAUUCACGGCCCCCCUACCGUCCGCUUACAUACUCACGCCCCGGGGGCGCGGCCGCCACGUGGGGAGUGGCGCGGGGGUGGCACUGGGACCGCACCCCCUCUCGUCCUGGCUGCGUGGGCCCCGCUUACCCCUGGUGCAGGAGACUCGGAGCCCGGCAGGUCCCACACUCCACGCGAACUGAAUUCCCGCCCGUCUCCUGCCCGGGCGGCCAAGAGGCGGCGGCGGGGAUUGCGGGCUCCGGGAGGCGCUCAGGCUCCGAGAAGCAGCUCAGCCCCGCGCUCCUCCCUCCGCAGUGCCGCUGCCGGCGGGCCGGGAUUCCCGCGGGUCUCGGCGGCUGCGAGCCGGAGGCGGCGCGGGUCCCGGCUCGGUUCCGGCGCGGCUGCUCACCUCGGCCGCCUUGCCUCCCGCGACUUCAGCCGGCACAGAGCUCUCCUCUGCGCGCCUCCCCGGCCCGUCUCGUUUUCCCUCUUCUCCUUCUAGACCCAGCAUCGCAACUCCGCCGACCUACGCGGCCCCGAGAGCGCGUUGGGUGCGGGUGGAGUCGGACUGGCCCUGGCUUCCCGCCUCGUGCGGGUUCCCCUUCUUCCGGACUCCGCGGACCAGUUGUAUAUCCAGCUGGCGGAUGCAGAAGGAGGAAGAGGAGAAAGAUGAGAUGUUGGCCAGCCCUGAAGAGUGGGUGUCCUGCCUGGCGAGAGGGCACAAGACACUGA